rnacentral:rRNA from 1 species
UACGUAGGGCGCAAGCGUUGUCCGGAAUUAUUGGGCGUAAAGAGCUCGUAGGCGGUUUGUCGCGUCUGCUGUGAAAUCCUCAGGCUCAACCUGGGGCUUGCAGUGGGUACGGGCAGACUAGAGUGCGGUAGGGGUGACUGGAAUUCCUGGUGUAGCGGUGGAAUGCGCAGAUAUCAGGAGGAACACCGGUGGCGAAGGCGGGUCUCUGGGCAGUAACUGACGCUGGAGGAGCGAAAGCGUGGGGAGCAAACAGG